AUUGAACGCUGGCGGCAGGCAUAACACAUGCAAGUCGAACGCGUGGCGGACGGGUGAGUAACGUCUGGGAAACUGCCUGAUGGAGGGGGAUAACUACUGGAAACGGUAGCUAAUACCGCAUACCAACGGAUGUGCCCCUAUGGGAUUAGCUAGUAGGUGGUGUAAAGGCUCACCUAGACGACGAUCCCUAGCUGGUCUGAGAGGAUGGCCAGCCACACUGGAACUGAGACACGGCCCAGACUCCUACGUGAGGCAGCAGUGGGGAAUAUUGCACAAUGGGCGCAAGCCUGAUGCAGCCAUGCCGCGUGUAUAAAGAAGGCCUUCGGGUUUUAAAGUACUUACAGCGGGGAGGCGUUACCCGCAGAAGAAGCACCGGCUAACUCCGUGCCAGCAGCCGCGGUAAUUC
rnacentral:rRNA from 1 species